GAUGAACGCUGGCGGCGCGCCUAACACAUGCAAGUCGAACGAUUAAAGCACCUUCGGGUGUGUAUAAAGUGGCGAACGGCUGAGUAACACGUGGGCAACCUGCCCCUUUCAUUGGGAUAGCCACGGGAAACCGUGGAUAAUACCGAAUACUUCGAGACUUCCGCAUGGAAGACUCGAGAAAGCUCCGGCGGGGAGGGAUGGGCCCGCGGCCUGUUAGCUUGUUGGUGGGGUAACGGCCUACCAAGGCAAUGAUGGGUAGCUGGGUUGAGAGACCGACCAGCCAGAUUGGGACUGAGACACGGCCCAGACUCCUACGGGAGGCAGCAGUGGGGAAUCUUGCACAAUGGGCGAAAGCCUGAUGCAGCGACGCCGCGUGCGGGAUGAAGGCCUUCGGGUUGUAAACCGCUUUCAGCAGGGACGAGGCGAAAGUGACGGUACCUGCAGAAGAAGCCCCGGCUAACUACGUG
rnacentral:rRNA from 1 species